GGUAUCGCCGUUAGUCAUGUGCAAAUCUGGAUAGCUGUUUUAGCCGUCUUUAUUGACUGGUUUAUAAGAGUUAUCAGAUAUCACUUUGAUUAAAUUAGAGUGCUUAAAGCAAGUGUGUUACUUGGAUAUAAAUGCAUGGAAUGAUGGAAUAUGUUGUUAUUCUAUUUGUUGGUUUUUGAAUGAUAAAAUGAUUGAAAGGAACUGUUGGGGGCAUUCGUAUUGUUGUGAGAGAGGUGAAAUUCUUAGACCACAGCAAGACGAACUACUGCGAAAGCAUUUGCCAAGAAUGUUUUCAUUGAUCAAGAACGAAAGUUAGAGGUUCGAAGGCGAUCAGAUACCGCCCUAGUUCUAACCAUAAACUAUGCCAACUAGCAAUUUGCUUUGUAUUUUUUAUGACUAAGUGAGAGGCCACGGGAAACCUAAGUAGGGUUAUGGGGGAAGUAUGGUUGCAAAGCUGAAACUUAAAGGAAUUGACGGAAGGGCACCACCAGGAGUGGAGCCUGCGGCUUAAUUUGACUCAACACGGGAAAACUUACCUGGUCCUGACACUAGAAGGAUUGACAGAUUGAUAGCUCUUUCUUGAUUUGGUGGAUGGUGGUGCAUGGCCGUUCUUAGUUGGUGGAGUGAUUUGUCUGGUUAAUUCCGAUAACGAACGAGACUCUAGCCUAUUAAAUAAUACACGGAAUUUUAUCUUCCGCGGUAUUUCUUAGUGGGAUCAAGCG
rnacentral:rRNA from 1 species